rnacentral:snoRNA from 1 species
GAAGGCCUAUGAUGAUUGAAAAUUGCCUACAUUGUCAGAUCUUCAUUCUGACGACAAUAAAAUUAACAAUCUGAGGCCUAG